rnacentral:rRNA from 1 species
UACAGAGGGUGCGAGCGUUGUUCGGAAUUACUGGGCGUAAAGCGCGCGCAGGCGGCCCUUUAAGUCCGUCGGUCAAAUGCCGGGGCUCAACCCCGAGCGUGCCGAGGAUACUGGAGGGCUGGAGACACGUAGAGGCAAGCGGAAUUCCGGGUGUAGCGGUGGAAAUGGCGCAGAUAUCAGGAGGAACACCGAGUGGCGAAGGCAGGUCUCUGGGCUGACACUGACGCUCAUGCACGAAAGCGUGGGGAGCAAACAGG